CAUGAACGCUGGCGGCAUGCCUAAUACAUGCAAGUCGAACGAGAGGAAGGAAAGCUUGCUUUCCUGAAUCUAGUGGCGAACGGGUGAGUAACACGUAAGUAACCUGCCCAUGUGCCCGGGAUAACUUCUGGAAACGGAUGCUAAAACCGGAUAGGUAGCAGACAAGCAUUUGACUGCCAUUAAAGUGGCCUUGGCCAUGAACAUGGAUGGACCUGCGGUGCAUUAGCUAGUUGGUGAGGUAACGGCCCACCAAGGCGACGAUGCAUAGCCGGCCUGAGAGGGCGGACGGCCACAUUGGGACUGAGACACGGCCCAAACUCCGACGGGAGGCAGCAGUAGGGAAUUUUCGUCAAUGGGGGGAACCCUGAACGAGCAAUGCCGCGUGAGUGAGGAAGGUCUUCGGAUCGUAAAGCUCUGUUGUAAGAGAAAAACGGCACUCAUAGGGAAUGAUGAGUGAGUGAUGGUAUCUUACCAGAAAGUCACGGCUAACUACGUGCCAGCAGCCGCCGUAAAAC
rnacentral:rRNA from 1 species